GGCAAAGCGAGGGGCGCUGGCCCUCGCGGGGACGUUCUGCAUGGGCGUUUCCCAUGGACAGUCUCCAUGGGCGUUCUCUAUGGACGCUCUCCAGCUUAUUUUGGCUUUCCUGUUGGUGCUGCAUCUGUGACCUCUGCCAGCCCUUCUUAGGCUUUGGAGUGAAAUCAAGGACACUUCCUUUCAGCCAGUUCACCAUUCAAGGCCAUUAAGGAAUCUCCAGUCUCAAGGAUCCUGUGAGAGCUGGGAAGGAAUCUUUGGAGUCAAUGUAGACCAAAAUACAGCAACUGGAUUUCUAUGGAAGUAACAUCUUUUACUAUGAGUAUUUCUCGGUGUGGAUCCUGUUGGUGGUGGCCAAGCUCACGUGCACCUACUGGCUCUUGAGCUGCUUGUAUCUUUCCAUCAGUUCAGUGUUAGAGCUCUAGCAGUGGUGCUGGGUCCCAUGACCUGCAGCAAGGCUGUUCUGGUGCAGGUUCUACUGUUUAAUCUGAAUUCCUGCUGUUAGAGGGUGCAAACCAGCAGGUGCCACAGAGGCCACAUUGUUGGGCUGCCCUGGAAUCCAGCUGCUCAGCAAUCCCCAUUAAACAGUAAAAUAUUUUAACUGUCUGAGAGUCUUGGUUCAUAGUAAUUUUCUCUCUACAGAGGUAUUUUGGGACAUCUUUUUUUCCCUCAGCUCCCCACAGAAGGUUGCAGAUAUCUUCUGCAGCUCCUAAGGUCAGCAAGAUUUGCUGCUAGUAGAGGAGUAAUUGUCUCCCUAAGGUGGUGGGAUUCAAGUUGUUAGGUAAAGGCUGCAGUGCUGCUUUAACAAAUUAGCCCUUCCCAAACUUCAUUUGGGAGCAAUGUUGACUGAGUGUAUGAUGUUGGCCUUUGAUUGGCUUCCUUUUAAUCUCUAGGAUAGGUACAUUCUUCAAACAUGCCACCUUCUCUCCUGUUUGUAUGUUGCUGAUGUUUCAUUGAUCGUCCUUUUACAUGUCAAAUAUCAUGCAUCUUCUUGUAGAUCAUCUGAAAAAUGGGAAACUUCUAGAAUAGUUCCUUCCCCAAAAUGCUGGAAAAGAAGCAUUUUAGAGUCCUUGCCAUACCAAGAAAAUGUCAUGGUGAAAGGUAGUCUGGGCCAUGAAGACUUUGCAUAAAUCCUGAAGGGUUGUUUGGAAUUUUUAAGUUUUGUUGUCAGUAAAUGGAGAGGAGGGGAAAAGCCGUGUUAAUUCAUGAUGGUAGAAUUGGUCAUAAACCAGCAUGAAUUCUGCAUCGUCUUUGAAUGUUGUAAGCUGUAGGCACGCUGUAACUUUCUCUGCCCAACACAAGAGGAAGGUGAGACCGAAGCAGCUGGCCCCACUCUACCCCUGGUCCCUCAGCCCUGGUGAUUACCACCGAUGGAGGAAUCCCACAGACAAAACUUACACACAGUUACUAUGGGAUUUAUACAAGGCAAACCACUUUACUGUACUUUUCUGUAUAUGCUUGCUUCUUGUUGUUAUCUUUGAGGCCAUUUGGAACAGUCAGUCCUUCCCGCUCCUGUGCACCUUACAUUAGAUCCCUUACAGGGCAGAAUUAAGGCUGGGUGUGUGUUUUCUGUGGUAGGCAUUAGUACUCUUCUGCUGGAAGCAGGGCAAUUUGAUUAAUUUUGAGAAAGAUUCUUUCAAAGACAGGUAAGCAACCCAAGCCUUAAGUGUGCCUCAACAUCUUGAUGUCAGAGUUAUAAUGGCUUGUACUGCCAUCAGAGUUGCAUUUAUAAUUUACUGCAAAGGAACAAAACCCAGUGAUAUUAGUUCUUAUGCUCAUUACUGGCAGAACUGACACAGCUGAGCAGGGAGAGUGAGGCUGUCAGUGAAAACAGAUGCAUCUUUCUUUGGGUUUUUUCAUUUUGUUUUUGUUUGUUUAUUUGGUUUUACAUUUUAACAUACAAAGUUUUACCCCAUGCAUAGUCUAAAUGAGCUGGUUCUAUUUUUUCUCCUGAAUCUAGAUGAAUUAUUUCAGCACGAUUCUGGCUGGAGGAAUACUGUUACUGUCCUGAUGAUGCAAAAGAUUCCAGCUACUUUCAUACAGGUUUGUAUUUCUUGUACAUCCACAAGAAAACAUGAAUAGCUAUGUAUGUAUAAGACUACUCAUCUUCUGAUCUUUAGAAUGGGUGUUGUUCAUUUGGAGACAAAGGAGAUAGCAUUGAAAAUGCAAAUUUGACUUUACAUUUGAAUGCUAAGUCAAUAAACCAAAAAUCAAAUAUAAGUGUGAAAAUAUACCUG